UACGUAGGGACCAAGCGUUGUUCGGAUUUACUGGGCGUAAAGGGCGCGUAGGCGGCAAUUCAAGUCAUCUGUGAAAUCUCCGGGCUUAACCCGGAACGGUCAGGUGAUACUGUUUUGCUAGAGUGCGGAAGGGGCAAUCGGAAUUCUCGGUGUAGCGGUGAAAUGCGUAGAUAUCGAGAGGAACACCAGAGGUGAAGACGGGUUGUUGGGCCGACACUGACGCUGACAGCGCGAAAGCCAGGGGAGCAAACGGG
rnacentral:rRNA from 1 species